UUCGUGACAGACAACUCAAGAUUUCCCCUUCAGGAAGUCUGUCUGCCUUGCCUCCUCCCGUGGGUAGGUCUGGUAGUCUUCCAGCUUCUUUCCUGUGUGCUGUGUUCUGCCCAAGCUGUCUGUUCAACUUUAUCCAUUCCUGCAAGAGCCUUUGGAACGGGUAUUAUCAGGACAGCAACAUUAUAAAAGUAUUUACACUGCUCAGAUUUGCGCUGCUCCCAGACUUGGUUCAGAGAAGUUUCUUUUUCCAGUGCGAGGUAGUUAAAGCAGAGACGCAUUCCUGUUGAAAGCGCUGGGGAUGACUGACUGAGAGCGCUCAGAAGUAGACAGCACAUCUGUAUCAACCUCCCCCAAAAAGCUCAGAGGAAAUGAGGAGACAGAACGAAGGGGUCAUGGUAUCCGGCACAUGUAGAGGACAGAGCAUAACCCUGUGGAACAGGUCCCCUCCUUCCACCGAAGCUUCUCUUCCCUACUUUUAUCAUCUUUCUUACAAAUGGGGUUUAAGAAAGAAAUGCUGGCGGAACCCACUGCCGUCUUGGAAUUUAAGUGUUUCUGCAUCGUUUGUGCUUUGAUCUCCAAAAUCUCAUUCAGAAAUAUGUGUGCGAACUAAACGUAAGCCAUUUUGGUUGAUAAACGCCAACAUCGUGGCCUGUUUCCUAAGACUCCUUCGUUCUGAAACCAUAUCGCUUGUUUCUUCAUUGUCUCUUCAGACCACAGAGGAUGCGUGAAGCAACCGGUAAGAGGAAAGGCACUUUGAACACAUUAGCAGACAUACUGAAGUAGAACCAGGUAGAAAAGACCAAUUAUUAGAUACUGAUUGGUUGGUUGACUUACUUAAGGCCCUGCUCGUUCUGCCCAUUUGUCAAGCAUCAUGUUCUACCUAGAAGAGAAUGACCUGGAAAACCAGCUAAAACAAUACUACCUGCCGACAGCCGGAAGCUUCUGCUGCCGGCCAAUCCUGCUUGCCUGCCCAUGUUGUGGUUGUAAAGGUAUAAAAUAAAAAUGCAAAGUGGACUCCCUGCUUUGUUAUGUAGGGGGUUUAAAGGCUUUUCAGAAGCUGACUUGGCUUCUGUCUUCUGAUGACAUCUCCUCUCUUCUAUUCUCAUUGAUAUUGGAGACCUUAUUCCAGGAAGAUUCUGGAAACAAUGCCAUCCACUGAAUGUCAUGUGAGAUUUUGUACUACAAGCAGUUCCCCUCUCUAAGUGAUCCCAGCGGCUAAUCCUUAGCUAUUUGAACCAAUGUGUCAUCUGGAACCAGGAAUGGCCCUGCAAGCGGUGGGAGAAAUUGCAGCUGAGUUCAGCUUCCUGUGAGACUGAUGACUUUGUUUCUCUGUUUUCCAGAAACUAUGGGGUCCUGUGUUUUCUGUCUCUAGGUAACCAAUUAGCUUCUGGUUGCCUCCUCUAGCUGGCACAAAAACCCAGCCAAGUUAGUUCAAGCUGUAAGAGUGCUGUCACAUGUGUAAGGUCAGAGCACCACAGUGAAUGCUAUUUCCUGUAUAGUAGAUGGGAGUGAGUCUCCAUCAGAUAGCCCUGCCUCAGGACACCUUUCAUAGAAAUAUAAAACAAUUAUGUGAUUUUUUUCUCUUGUUACAGAUACUUUAAUUUCGUGGCAUUUUUGGUUUUGUAACAGGACCUUACAACACAGUUCUGGCUGACCUAGAACUUUGUAGACCUUUAUAGACUUUAUAGAGAUCUGUUCUUUUCUAGUGAAAAACAAAAAGGAAGUGGAUCCAGAGGAGAGGGGAGGUAGGAAGUAUAGGGUGGAAACUUCUAGCAAUGCUUUUCUUCUCAUCUCCACUGUAAGGACAAAGAUUUGUUUUUGGUACUAAAAAUAUGACUGGAAAGCAGGAACACCUAAAUCCUGACUCAUUUAUGUUAUAACAUAAUAGUGACCCAUGGACAGAUAAACUUUUCAAUCAUCUAAAUGUAUUAAAAAUAGUAAGUGGCCAUCCUGAAGAAUGUGAAGGACAUAUACUUUUUCAAUUUUUAUUUAAGGGAAUACAAGCAAGGGUAUUUAGAGAUAAUUAAUAUAGACAAAUAAGUAGGGAACACAUAUAAAUCAGUCAUGCAACACCCUUACUGGGGAGACUAGCCAUCUAUUUUUAAAUGUCCUGUUGGCAGACUUCAACAGACAGCUGUAUUAGGUGGACAGAGGCUGCCUGUGCAUGGGGAAGAACACCGUGUUAACCCAGUUAUUUUUAGUUGUGAAACCUCCUUUAAAAACCCUGAUAUUAGAGAGAGAGGUAUACACACAACAGAUACACACACACACACACACACACACACACACACACACACACGAGGGGAGGAGGGAGAGGGGAAGGAGGAGAGAGAGGGAGAGGGAGAGAGGGAGAGAGGGAAACCUUGUGCAAGGUCCUAGAUUCAAUCUCCAGCACUAAAAAUUUAAGUUUUAAGAAUACAUCGAAGUUGAAUGAUCUUAAAGCUUUGGUGAAAAUAUCUGUCCUUAGUGCUCUAUAGCACACAGCCCUGCAAUCUACACGUUACCAUUGGCAGCAAGCCUGCUGUUUCCCUGAAAGGCCUCCUUUUAUUCUUCUGGGAAUCCUGUCAGCACUUCUGAGCAAGUGUGGGUGUGGGUGGUUGAUCAGCAUGCUUUGUACUGUCUUGUUUAAAAGUCUCACUCAAGAUGGGAGUAUACCUCAAUACCUAUCUAUGUAUCUAUAUCUAUGUAUCUAUGUGUCUAUGUAUCAAUGUAACUGUGUGUAUGUAUGUAUGUACAUAUGUAUGUCUAUGAAUGAAUCUAUAUCAUCUAUCCAUCUUCUAUCAUCUAUCUAUCUAUAUCAUCUAUCUAUCUAUCUAUCUAUCUAUCUAUCUAUCUAUCUAUCUAUGUGUUUAUCUAUACUUCCCCCACUCAGUGUGUCAGUGUGUAUGUCUCUGUGUUUCUCAUCUAUGUUUACAGUCUAUAUGUGGGUUAAGUCCUAUCUUAAGUUUUCCACAGCAGCUGCUGUACCAGUAGUAGUUGUACCUGAGUAUGCAGUCUCACUGCCCUGGUGUCAUGCUUGCUGAAAAGGGAUCUGUUAAAGCUGGACCCUACUCCAGACCCAUUGCUUUUGUCUCAUUUCUUCUCCCAGACACAUCCCAUGGUGGGAAUCUAUCAAAUCUCUCUAGCAGAGCUGUGGUCCUGCAUUAGGCCUCGCCACUGGGGUGUGGGAAUAUAACUUGGCCUGGUGAAAUGGGAGACACUAGACUGCAUUUAACCUAUGCCACCUCAUCUAGUGCUGGGCUUGUGGGAAGUGCCAGUGCACAGCUCUGGGUAUGGGAGAAUGCAACUGGAGUUGAGGGCCUCACCUUGGUGAGAAAUGACACUGGUGGAGGCCCAAGUUAGGGUUCCCUGAUUCCUGGGCAUCCAGUCACAGCUGGAAGCCAGAGUCAGGAAUGAAGGGGGCCAGUGGGCGGAGGAUGAGCCUGGGGUUGGGGGAAGGGAACCCUAGCUUAGUUUAGUGAGGAGUCCAGGAAUGCUGAGGGGCCUUCUGAGGGAGACUUAGGCUUUAUAGGCAAACGCUUCCUCCAUGUUUCCCGUGGCAGUUCUUGAUGAAAGAGGCAGUUCAUGGUUGUCCACACUGUUUAUUGACUGUUCAUUGUGGAAAAUGGGUGCCUAUCACCUCCUCAGGGUGGAGCAGAGAUUAAAUGCCAUUCACUGAAAGGAAUGUCUGGAAGGGAAGCUUAUUGGUUAAACCCCAAGGGACUUAGACACCUCAUUAGCAUGGAGAACUCUGAUCUGGGCUACAUGGCCAUUGUUCAUGUCCCUUUGUGGGUCACAUGUUCCCGGUCAGGAAUCUUGGUAGGGAGCAGGGAGAUGUCUACCAUCCUCAGAUGGGUACCUGGGUACUGGGAUCUCUGAACCUACUCAACCUUACCAAAUUUCCUGGCAUGGACCACUGCCCCAUAAGACUCAUCUGGUUGGUCUCUUGGGCAAAUUUGGUAUAAUGAAAAGAAAGAAUGAGUAGGCCUCAUACCUGCUUGCCAUUGGUUUGGAGAAGCCCAAAAGAGUUCAGGGUUUUGUCAAGACCAGGUCAUUGGAGAGCAUCAUUUUCCUUGGGAGGAGUGCCAAAUUCUCUUGUGUUUUUGUGCGUGCAUGCAUGCAUGCAUGUGUGUUUGUUGCUACAGUCAAAGGUGAGCUUACUGUAGGAGAGCUAAUAGAAGAAACUGCUUAGCCUGUAAGCAGGAGGGGUGUGUAUUGUUUAUCAGAUACAGAUGGUUGCUGCUGUCUGAACUUCAGAACCAGGAGGUCCCCUUGGAGCUGUCACGGUAGCAUAAUGAUUGAAUUUGGAGGAGAGUUGCCAUGUGUCCACUGGAGUUUGGAUCAGAAAAAGAAGCCAAUGUAUAUUUUGGGUCUAGACAUUUCUGGAAGGAAUUUAACCCAAGGAAUCAACGGAAUGAAGUCUCUGUGAGCUCUAUUGAAGAGUCUAGGAAAUGACCAGUUUCCAGUUCAGCAGCAGAAAGGUGGUCUCCGGGAACAGAAUGGUUACCAAGAAACAUGCUGGAGUCAUUAAAGCAUACAUUUGAUUAAAAUGUAUUUGGAAAGGGGGAUUUGAAGAUAGCAUGGCUACCUGUGACUCUGACUUUUAUUUGCCUGAUGUAAUUGUCUCAGGGGCUUAUAACCUCUGCGUGAUAACCUAAGCUUAGUCCUGGAAGCUUCUAGUCUCUGUAAAGUCUAAUCUAGGCCUAGAAUGUUUUUCAGCAUCUGAGACAUACUGCUGAAUAAGCUCACCCUUUCUCAUUCUUUCUGAGCUCUGAUUAGCUGGUUCAACUCAACUGUUCUCUCUCCAAGCUGACUGAUUCAAUCUGACUGCUCUCAGCUUCCAGCUGAAUUGCUCUGCUUGACCUCAAAUUAUCUCUGUCAAUCUGUUCCAGUCUUCUGGUUCCUUCUCAUUCCCUUGAUUGUUCUGUCUUCACCUGUGUCUAGCUUGUUUUAUUUGUGCAACCUGUCUCUGUAAAACUCCGGAAAAACUGCCUCCUCUCUCUUCCUCUCCCCUUACCCCUCUCUCUGCACUGCUCCCUCUUUCCUCUCUCUUCUUGUGAGAGUUGGACAUAGCCUGUUCUAUCAAAUCUUUCUCUGAUUCAUCACUUUAUCUGCCACUCAACUAGUCACUACUUUGAAACAGGGCUGCUUCCUUCUACAAACUAACUCUACCAUCAUAGUUUGGGAUUAAAGGUGUAUGUUAAGGGCUGAGCCGCACCACAAAAACAGGGUUUAUUGAGUAAACAACACAAUCUCAGGGUUGACAGUAUGAUCAAAUAUCCUGCAAUGUGUUCAUACCCAUGUUCAACAUGUACUUCAAGGCACACUUUUCUCAUAAGCCCUCGUUCACGACUCUCUUCCAUCCUACCUUGUUUUUGUAUUGCACCCUGUCUUAUAGUAAAUUUGUUUUCUAUUCAUUUUCUGUUUUUUAUUGAUCUCUGGCCUUGACUGGAAGGUGAUCUAAAGGGAUCACUUUUUAUUUUCUGUCAUUCUCCUAUAAUGAUGAAUGACAGGUUUACAAUAAUCUCAUUGAACAAUUAUUGUAGUCAACAGCUACUUAGACCCCACAGUGAAUAUCAUCCUAUAUGUUUGUGUUGACUUUUAAGGUAUUUUUAAAGAGAUAUACUUAUUUAUGCAUAUGGGUGCUUUGUCUGCAUUACAUCUGCCCACCAGAAGAGAGAAACUGGAAUUCAUGAGAUUGCCGUUAUGUAGAUUGAUGUCUAUAUGUAGGUGAGGACUGGCACAAGUUAGGUCAAGGCCAUGAUUGGACAUUAAAAAACAAAACAAGAUCUUCCUGGUUGCUGCCGCCGCAGAGAGCUCGUGGGCAGCACCCCGAGAGCAAACUUGAGCCUCGGGACCACAGGUAAGACCAACUUUUCUGCUGCAAGAGACCUGCCUGGUGAACUCGGGACACACAGAGGCAGAAUUCCUCUAGGACCGGGCACUCCCUGUGUUUACCGGGAGUCCCACACCCGCGGAUCCGGGCCCGCAGCAACUCUCUGCUCCCAGACCCCGUGGGAGAGAGACCUCACCGCCUGGUCAGGUGGGCACUCCUGAGGCUGCAGAGCAGAAGAGACCACCAACACUGCCCACCACUGCCCACAUCCCUGACCCAAGAGGAAACUGUAUAAGGCCUCUGGGUUCCCGUGGGGGACGGCCCAGGAGUGGCAGGACCCCUGCGCCUGAGACACCGCCGGAACCUGAAGGAACAGACCGGAUAAACAGUUCUCUGCACCCAAAUCCCGUGGGAGGGAGAGCUAAACCUUCAGAGAGGCAGACACGCCUGGGAAACCAGAAGAGACUGCACUCUGCACACAUUACUGAUUCCAGAGGAAAACACCAAAUGCCAUCUGGAACCCUGGUGCACUGAAGC